GUCAAAUGUUGGCACAUAUUUCAAACUGAAGAAGCUGGCAACCAUAUUUGUCAUACACGAUUGAAAUGUCGAAGGGGGGCAUGUCUGGAAUGUACCAUUCAUGCUGUAAAUCUCUUUCAUUCCCUGCAUCACUUUCACAAUCUCGCUGAUUAAAAAAGCAUGCACAAGCGAUCUGGUGCAAAACUUUGGUGUGAGGAACAUAUUGCGGCUGCAUCUCUCACUAAAAUGUUGGCAGGAGGGAUACCAUCUGUUUGUGGGAAAACGAGAUGCCAGAAGGACCACCGCAAACAACUAAGGUUGGAAGAAUAGCACUAGUAAAGGACACAUGACAGAAGAAGGACAUCUCCAUAAAAGACCCAAAGAUGACCUUUAUUUUUGAUCGCAGGAAGAAUGUGGGUGCCAAAGCAUUUCUUGGGCUGGUGGAAUGGGAUAUUUUGGGGGAAAGGAAUGGGGGGAUAGUAAAGCCCAACCCUACUGCAUGUGUGCUGGGGUAAGAUCACACGCUGACCCUGGCUCAGCACACACAACAGUCAAACGAGAUUAAUGAGCCUGCCUCUAUAACCCACAAGGUCCUGUAGACGGUUCUGCCAUUUCUUACUUUUGACAGAUCAAGUGCUGUUAUUUUUUACUUUGCUUGUCUUAACACUUGAUGCUGCCCGGCAACACAUGCCAGACGAACUUAGUUGAUGUCACCUGCCAUGCAUUUGCCAUACCAGUGGAUUUGACACUUUAUCAGGUGAAAGAACAGAUUAAAAAUAAGUCUUACUGCAAAUCCACAGCAGCAAAAAAUAGGGAAAAAAACACUUUUAUGUGUUGAAAGAGUGGGGAGGAUGUCAUAAAAACUAAACGAUGACUGUUUUUGGCACAAAGUUUUUGUGGACCUCAAAAAUUAAAUGCUAAUAUAAAAGGGAUGGCAUGACCCCUUUAAUAGUUUAGUAGUUCAGUAACUUAAUCGUGCCAAGAGUCCACCACAGAUCCUUUCUGGUGAGGAGAUUUUAAACAUGCAAGAAUCACGCAAUGUUCUGGAAGUAAGAUGAUGAAA